GAUGAACGCUGGCGGCGUGCCUAAUACAUGCAAGUCGAGCGAACAGACGAGGAGCUUGCUCCUCUGACGUUAGCGGCGGACGGGUGAGUAACACGUGGAUAACCUACCUAUAAGACUGGGAUAACUUCGGGAAACCGGAGCUAAUACCGGAUAACAUGUUGAACCGCAUGGUUCAACAGUGAAAGACGGUUUUGCUGUCACUUAUAGAUGGAUCCGCGUCGCAUUAGCUAGUUGGUAAGGUAACGGCUUACCAAGGCAACGAUGCGUAGCCGACCUGAGAGGGUGAUCGGCCACCCGGGAACUGAGACACGGUCCAGACUCCUACGGGAGGCAGCAGUAGGGAAUCUUCCGCAAUGGGCGAAAGCCUGACGGAGCAACGCCGCGUGAGUGAAGAAGGUCUUCGGAUCGUAAAACUCUGUUAUUAGGGAAGAACAAAUGUGUAAGUAACUAUGCACGUCUUGACGGUACCUAAUCAGAAAGCCACGGCUAACUACGUG
rnacentral:rRNA from 1 species